CAUUCGCAACAAUUUAUUGCAAUAUGAUUUGAAGAUUAACGAUUCUCUAGUUUCAUGGUCAGAUAUAUCAUCUCUAUGAAACUGUUUGAGAAUCCGCUCAGCCAUGAUGGCGCUCACGGUCGAUCGAUUUAUCGAUUGGGAGUCGCCCAUCUAGGUCAACGCGUGAGCAUGGGUCUCCUCGUCGGUUCACGCGCUACGACGCCAUUAGAGAUCACCGUGAAACAGGUGUUCAUCAGUUCAUUCUCCUCAGUACAGUUCAAGUGCAAUUCAGUAGCAUGGACGAUCCGAAACGCUCAAAACGAUCCAAGGAAUCCUCAGCAACUUUGCAGUACAACAGGAUUGCGAAAGCGCAAUCCUUCUGGGAUCAACACCAAUCCCGAACAGGGACCUUGAACGAAAGAAAAGCACUAGGGCAGCUGUAAAAUUGUCAGAAAAGCAUAUUUGAACGAAUGAAUUGUAGGCUCGCUUUGCAAGUGUUUAAGUAGAACAGUUUCGGCAGCUUUGUUAACGGCCAGCACGCAGGGACAGAUCCAAAACGAUACUGUUGUGAAUACUGCAUGUUUUGUUCGACUGUUGAAUGAUUUAUUCGAUAAUUUAAACAGUCGAACUGCGCAUGAUGCUAAUCCGCAAAAGUGUGCCUUAUCAAAUAAAAAUCCUCAAAUGGAAGAGAAUUUGAUAAGACAGGCAACAGCAUGAACAAAUUGGUUUGUGAUUCAAAAGGAUCAACAGGUACGUCCUCCGUGCUUCAGAGGCUUGCAGUUGUCAAUUAACGCGACGAUACAAUUGUGGCAUGACAUUCGCGAUGAGGAUACGUCAUAUUUAAUGACGUCGCGAUUACAACAAGAUCCAAUAGAAAAUUUGUUUUCUAUGAUCAGACAUAACGCGGGUAAUUAUGAAUAAAAUCCAUCCGCGAAAACAUUCAGAUUAAAUUUGCAGAAAAUGAAGAAUUAGGGUAUGGCGGAAAUCGAGAGAAGAAUUAAAUCCGAGACAUUUGCAGCCGACUGUAAAACACGGUGGUGGAUCUGUAUUUCGGCCCAUGGAGUAGGUGAAUUAGUUUUUAUCGACGACAUCCUCGAUAAAAAUAGGUAUCUGCACAUUUUGUAAAACAAUUUAAAAAAAAGUGCUGAUAACAUGGGACUUCAAAGUGGGAUAAAAUUUUAUCAGGAUAACGACCCAAAGCACAAAUCGCGUAUUGUGCAAGAAUUCUUAUUAUACACUUGCAAGAAUGUCCUCCACCCACCACCGUAAUCGCCAGAUUUGAAUCCUAUUGAAAAUUUAUGGGAUAAAUUAGAUCGCCGAAUUCGAACAACUCCCAUAAACACAAAGGACGAACUAAAAAGACGUCUGCAAGAAGAGUGGCUACGUAUUGGGCAAGAUUAUUUAAAAAGAAUAAUUUGUAAUAUGCCAAUGCGAUUACGGCACGUCAUAAAGCAUAUGCGAUAUCCAACAAAAUAUUAAUUUAUAAAAACAAGAUUUAUAUAUAGUGUUAUAAACUUAGUUUUGAUAGUGUCCGAAUAUUUUCGUGACAUGAAAAUGAGCGUACUUUUCAUUUUUCUUUUAUUAUUUAUGUAAUCAUUUAUCGUAAAUAAAUAUCUCUUAUGUUUUUGUUAAAUACACAAUGCAUAGUAACAUAUGUGAAACCUCUAUUUGUUCUUAUUGCAUAAAUUUCUGAAGUACGGACUAUAAUAGUCAGAACUAUAGUGGUGUCCGAAUAUUUUCGUGACCGUCUGUACCUAUACCAUCUCACUUCCUCUCGUUAUUACAUCUAUUCUCUUACUGUCAAAUUUAGCCGAGCAUCACUGUACUUUGUUUCUUUAUGCCAACGAACGACACUGUCCUGUUGCAGAAUAUUAUUAGGCAAGGUGAAUGGUUAGAAGACACGCACAUGGACAUGUUUCAUUAUCUUGUGCAGAAGUAUACUGAUUUCCGUUCACAGGAAACAUGGAAGUUACAGUGUCCCGAAAGAAUAAAUCCUAUACCCACAAAAAGUACAUUACAUGUAAAAAAAAAAGGUAACGUCAAGUAGUUUAGGCAUUAUGAGCGGAGCACCUCUUUGCACUAAUACACAAUGCAUUUCAGUGUGGCCCUGAAAACGUCGUAAUAUCCCACAAAAAGUAUAUUACAUGUAAAAGAAGAAGUAACGCCAAUAUAGACACUAUAUGGUACAUAUUUUGCAAAUUUUCUAAAAAAGUAAUGGAUAUCAUGCAAAACCAGCCAAGUAUUGAGUUAUAUAUAUUUUUGCAAAAUAUUUAUACUUGGCGUUUGGCUGCCUCGUUGCGAUUCAACAAAAUUGGUUGUACGUUAUUCCAAACCUGUGGAUACAUUAUCGACUUUAUUAGAGGCGUUGGUAUCGAAGCAAUUUUCCGUUAUCGUCAACGUGCCGUAGACUGUUGCAGUGCGAAGUGUUUCACAUUUUUGUACUAGGACGGCGAGGCACAAAUUCACAACCCUUCCAGAACAAAGGCAUGUUUAGUCUUGUUAGAUCUGUAGUCACUGUAUAAAGCGAUUUAGAGAGCGAUAUUGAGAACGGUAGUACGUAAGCGUGCAGUGCCGACGCACCGGUGAGUCCCUUAUAUCACUACGAAUAUUGUAUUUCUGGGAUUAGUAACGGCAACUUCUCGUCCGCGUAUUUUUCCGUACGUGUCCGGUACCCCGCGUUCGCGACCGCCUUUUCCUCCCUUCGAAAUUCCCUUCCAUAUCUUUCCUCCAACGCGAAACGUGCGGAACUUCCUACGAACCUCUCCCGACCCUGAAACCUCCCUUCCCAAGACGAUCCUCCCUGCGCACUCCCCCACGUGAACCGUGUAACGGCAGACCGCGGUCGAGCCGCGUAUCCCGUCCCCUAUGAAACACCCCGAUUUUCCCUCUUCCCUUUUUAUCGCCACAGGGAGUAUCUGGCGCCCAGCGAUUCGAAAAUAUUACAGCCAUUGUAUAGAGUCCACCCACGCGAUAACGGGUCACAGUGUAAUGAAAUUUUUGUAAAUAGCGAAAACCGACCAACAUGUAAUUUACAAAUAAUACCGCCAAAGUGUACUCCGAUCUGUCAACCUUGUGAUGUUUAUUUUUAUAGACAGGAUAAAAUUUGGAUUAAACAGAUUCAAAAUUAUUCAGACAUUAUGGCUAACGGAGAAAAGAAGGAGUUGAACACACGUUAUGACGCUAUAAGAAUCCAAUCUUUAAUCCAUUAUUUAUUAUCUGCACCACAAUUUAACAAAAUGAUCAAAUUCGCUUGGUACGCGUCAAAGUUGGGGAAUGAACGCGAUAUAUUAUAUAAUGUAAAUCAGUUAUGUUUUCCACCUGAUAUACAUAACAAAAAAUGUAUCUAUAAUAUGCGCUUUUCAUCCAUAACUUGUUCCUGGUGUACAAAUUAUUUAUGCUUUAAUUGCUUUUAUGUAAAAUAUCAUCCGCAACAUUACACAGCCAUGAUAGAAUUUUAUAACAAAUAACUUAAUAAAACUACAUACAAAAAUAACACCACGUAAUAAAUCGUUUGUUAUCGCUGCAAAGAAUGAAAUAAAUCAAUUCAUGAAUACAAUCAGCUUGGAAAAAAAAAGAAAAAAAAAAAAAAAAUGUAUCAGAAUGUUGUCUUGAACCGAGCUUGCAUGGAUUACAAAAUAGUGGCUGCAUGCGCACUUAACUUGCUCGGCUAUUUCGUUUCAUGCUGACAUUCAACCGCUCAUUGUAUUUAUACUACAGCUGAAAAAAUGCAUAGAUAUUUAUGCAAUUUUCUCAACAAGUAAGACCCAUACACUCAAAACCCUUAACACGAUUUGUACUAUCGGCCUCCCUUUUCGAAUGCACUAAAGCUCAUUUGAAAGUCGAGUUAGCGCUUCGUGGAAUUUCCUUGUUAGUCCAUACAGUCAAAUAUGAGGGUGUAUAGCUGCUUCCGGGGUUGGAAAUCUUGUGUUCAUUGAAGAUACAAUGAAAAAGGAGGAUUACGUUGAAAUACUGCGGAGAAACUUAGAGCCUUUCGUUACGAAAUUAAAUUUAUCAAGAACAUGGACAUUUCAAAGUGACAACAUUCCGAAGCAUACAUCACGCAUGGCAAAGGAAUGGCUUCUUUACAGGACACCAAAACAAUUAAAACAUCCUCCGCAAUCCCCAGACCUUAAUCCCAUAGAAAAUCUAUGGGAUUAUCUGGAUCGAAAAAUACGAAAAAGAGAGAUAACGUCGAAAGAAACUCUCAAGAAAGUCAUUUUAGAAGAAUGGAAUCAAAUUCCAGUAAAUUAUACAUCUUCAUUGGUCAAAUAGAUUGACCGAAGUUGUAAAAAAUAGCGGACGUUCAAUAAAAUAUUAAUUUCACAAAAAAAAAA